rnacentral:telomerase_RNA from 1 species
GCCACUACGCUUUUACUAGCAUGUGUGGACCUGGACGAGUUCACACUAACCCUAGGAUUUUCACUCUUCGCUUACCUUGUCUGGCAGUUUUUCAAGCUAAUUUUCUGCUGGAUGCGAAGGGCCAUAUUUUGAGCGCAGCGAAAGAAAUUGGCUUGCUAGAAAAUUACCAUUUGGCGUGGUAUUCUCGAGUGUGCAGUUCAAAAUACCUGUGCUAGUAUUGCAGUGAGGCAAGUCAGACUGCCAAAUUCAGCAGCAUGAUAUCGUCAUUGCAAGCUGUCUUUGGAGGGUCUGUCCUGUAUCAACUCGCUUUUGCAGUCUGUGCAUUGAUGUUUUUCAUCUGUCACCUAGAGCAAACAUGGUGUGUGGUAUAUACUUCUUUCCUAAGAUAUGGAAUUAAGGAUGAUAACACACCAGACAUUU